GAUGAACGCUGGCGGCGUGCUUAACACAUGCAAGUCGAGCGAAGCACCUUGAAGUCUUCGGACUAAGAGGUGACUGAGCGGCGGACGGGUGAGUAACGCGUGGGUAACCUGCCUCAUACAGGGGGAUAACAGUUAGAAAUGGCUGCUAAUACCGCAUAAGCGCACGGUACUGCAUGGUACAGUGUGAAAAACUCCGGUGGUGUGAGAUGGACCCGCGUUGGAUUAGCCAGUUGGCAGGGUAACGCCUACCAAAGCGACGAUCCAUAGCCGGCCUGAGAGGGUGAACGGCCACAUUGGGACUGAGACACGGCCCAGACUCCUACGGGAGGCAGCAGUGGGGAAUAUGCACAAUGGGGGAAACCCUGAUGCAGCGACGCCGC
rnacentral:rRNA from 1 species